rnacentral:lncRNA from 1 species
UGUUGAUCCCAUGUUGAUCCCGUGUUGAUCCCAUGUUGAUUUGCUGCUCCUCCCGUGUUCAUCCCAUGUUGAUCCCGUGUUGAUCCCAUGUCCAUCCUGUGUCCAUCCCAUGUUGAUCCCGUGUUGAUCCCGUGUUGCUUUGCUGCUCUACUCUUGUCCAUCCCAUGUUCAUCCCAUGUUGAUUCACUGCUGCGCUCAUCUCAAUCCCCUGUUAAUCCCCUGUUAAUCCCAUGUUAAUCCCAUGUUGAUGCCAUGUUGAUGCCACGUUCGAUGCACUGCUGUACUUAUCUCCGUCCCGUGUUAAUCCCGUGUUCAUCCCAUGUUCAAAUCACUGCUGUGCUCAUCUCAAUCCCAUGUUCAUCCCAUGUUCAUCCCAUGUUCGUCCCAUGUUGGUCCCAUGUUUGAUGCACUGCUGUACUCAUCUCAAUCCCAUGUUCAUCCCGUGUUAAUCCCAUGAUAAUCCCAUGUUCAUCCCAUGAUCAUCCCAUGUUUAAUCAUUGCUGUGCUCAUCUCAAUCCUAUGUUCAUCCCAUGCUCAUCCCAUGUUCAUCCCAUGUUUGAUGCACUGCUGCACUCAUCUCCGUCCCAUGUUCAUCCCAUGUUCAUCCCAUGUUCAUCCCAUGUUUAAUCAUUGCUGUACUCAUCUCAAUCCCAUGCCAAUCCCAUGAUAAUCCCAUGCUAAUCCCGUGUUCAUCCCAUGUUUGAUGCACUGCUGCACUCAUCUCCGUCCCGUGUUAAUCCCAUCUCAAUCCCAUGUUCAACCCAUGUUCAUCCCAUGCUAAUCGCAUGUUCAUCUCAUGUUCAUCCCAUGUUUAAUCAUUGCUGUACUCAUCUCAAUCCCAUGCCAAUCCCAUGUCAAUCCCAUGUUAAUCCCAUGUCAAUCCCAUGUUAGUCUCAUGAAGAUCCCAUGUCAAUCCCAUGUUAAUCCCGUGACAAUCCCAUGCCAAUUCCAUGUCAAUUCCAUGUUGACACAGUAAGGACCAGUCCCACGACUUCAUUACCCUCGGGCAUUAAUUAAUGACCUCCUUCCCUGAUUAACCCCCCCCCCCUUCCCUGUUUAUUCGUUAACAACGGUUGCACGGGACCAAUUAAUUAGGUCAUCCCCUCCCCCACCUCCUCCCUUCUGGGAUGAGUUAAUUACGAAAUGUAAUUAAUAAAGGCACUGUGGGAACACUGUGACGCA